AAAUCAUAGUGUGGACAUUUUAGCAAUAAAUCCUUAAAUCUUUCUCAAUAUUCAUAAAAUUCAUCGUGAUAUUUCUGAUAAAAUUUGGAGAUUUCUCUCUUAAUAU